AGCAGCCGCGGUAAUUCCAGCUCCAAUAGCGUAUAUUAAAGUUGCUGCAGUUAAAAAGCUCGUAGUUGAAUUUCGGGAUCAAUAUGUUGGUCGUGCCUCGGUACGUACUAGCUUAUUGGUUUCUUCCUUCUGACGAACCAUAAUGUCAUUUAUUUGGUGUUAUGGGGAAUCAGGACUGUUACUUUGAAAAAUUAGAGUGUUUAAAGCAGGCUCACGCUUGAAUACAUUAGCAUGGAAUAAUGAAAUAGGACGUUUGAUUCUAUUUUGUUGGUUUCUAGGAUCGACGUAAUGAUUAAUAGGGAUAGUUGGGGGCAUUAGUAUUCAAUUGUCAGAGGUGAAAUUCUUGGAUUUAUUGAAGACUAACUACUGCGAAAGCAUUUGCCAAGGAUGUUUUCAUUAAUCAAGAACGAAAGUUAGGGGAUCGAAGACGAUCAGAUACCGUCGUAGUCUUAACCAUAAACUAUGCCGACUAGGGAUCGGAUGAUGUU
rnacentral:rRNA from 1 species